CCUACGGGAGGCAGCAGUGGGGAAUAUUGCGCAAUGGGGGAAACCCUGAUGCAGCGACGCCGCGUGAGUGAAGAAGUAUUUCGGUAUGUAAAGCUCUAUCAGCAGGGAAGAAAAUGACGGUACCUGAUUAAGAAGCCCCGGCUAACUACGUGCCAGCAGCCGCGGUUAUACGUAGGGUGCAAGCGGUAUCCGGAUUUACUGGGUGGAAAGGGAGCGUAGACGGCAGCACAAGUCUGGAGUGAAAUGCCGGUGCUUAAACCCUGAACUGCUUUGGAAACUGUGCAGCUAGAGUGCAGGAGAGGUAAGUGGAAUUCCUAGUGUAGCGGUGAGAUGCGUAGAUAUUAGGAGGAACACCAGUGGCGAAGGCGGCUUACUGGACUGUAACUGACGUUGAGGCUCGAAAGCGUGGGGAGCAAACAGGAUUAGAUACCCUGGUAGUC
rnacentral:rRNA from 1 species